GCUUGUCUCAAAGAUUAAGCCAUGCAUGUCUCAGCAUAAGCUUCUAUACGGCGAAACUGCGAAUGGCUCAUUAAAACAGUUACAGUUUAUUUGAUGGUCAUUCUUUACAUGGAUAACCGUGGUAAUUCUAGAGCUAAUACAUGCGCCCAAACCCGACUUUGCGGAAGGGUUGUGCUUAUUAGAUACAAAACCAAUGCCCUUCGGGGCUCCUUGGUGAUUCAUGAUAACUAUACGAAUCGCACGGCCUUGCGCCGGCGAUGGUUCAUUCAAAUUUCUUCCCUAUCAACUUUCGAUGUUUGGGUAUUGGCCAAACAUGGUUGCAACGGGUAACGGAGGGUUAGGGCUCGACCCCGGAGAAGGAGCCUGAGAAACGGCUACUACAUCCAAGGAAGGCAGCAGG
rnacentral:rRNA from 1 species